UACGGAGGGUGCGAGCGUUGUCCGGAAUCAUUGGGCGUAAAGGGCGCGUAGGCGGUUCGUUAAGUCCUGUGUGAAAUCCCCCGGCUCAACUGGGGAACUGCACAGGAAACUAGCGGGCUUGAGUUCGGGAGAGGGAAGCGGAAUUCCGGGUGUAGCGGUGAAAUGCGUAGAUAUCCGGAGGAACACCGGUGGCGAAGGCGGCUUCCUGGACCGACACUGACGCUGAGGCGCGAAAGCUAGGGGAGCAAACGGG
rnacentral:rRNA from 1 species